rnacentral:rRNA from 1 species
AUUGAACGCUGGCGGCAGGCCUAACACAUGCAAGUCGAGCGAGCGGCGGACGGGUGAGUAAUGUCUGGGAAACUGCCUGAUGGAGGGGGAUAACUACUGGAAACGGUAGCUAAUACCGCAUACCAUCAGAUGUGCCCAGAUGGGAUUAGCUUGUAGGUUGGGUAAUGGCUCACCUAGGCGACGAUCCCUAGCUGGUCUGAGAGGAUGACCAGCCACACUAGAGCUGUGACACGGUCCAGACUCCAACGGGAGGCAGCAGUGGGGAAUAUUGCACAAUGGGCGCAAGCCUAGUGCAGCCAUGCCGCGUGUGUGAAGAAGGCCUUCGGGUUGUAAAGUACUUUCAGCGGGGAGGCGUUACCCGCAGAAGAAGCACCGGCUAACUCCGAGCCAGCAGCCGCGGUAAUAC